GAAUGAAGUGUGACUAAAUAAAGUGAAGGUUUGCCCCUAGCCUGGCUAACAACCCAAACUCUGUAUAACCAGGUUACUAGUUUUCCAUUGUACCACGUGGUAUGUUGCAUCAGGCUAGGCGCCUCCCCAGUGUGGUCAUUAUUUAGCUGCAUCACUACAGUGGCUCAAAUAAAUAUGACACUAGGGAACAGUCACACACCCUGAGCAUUCAUUAGAAAACAAAAAACGCAUUGACUUUGCUCUCAGCGAGUCACAAAGCAUGGCCUUCGCCUUUCCACUCUACGUGAUGAGAACAAUGCCCAGGUCUGUGGGUAGGUUGUGGUGUGUAGAGUAGAAGCUACGAUUGGAUGGUAGGUUGUGGUGUGUAGAGUAGAAGCUACGAUUGGAUGGUAGGUUGUGGUGUGUAGAGUAGAAGCUACGAUUGGAUGGUAGGUUGUGGUGUGUAGAGUAGAAGCUACGAUUGGAUGGUAGGUUGUGGUGUGUAGAGUAGAAGCUACGAUUGGAUGGUAGGUUGUGGUGUGUAGAGUAGAAGCUACGAUUGGAUGGUAGGUUGUGGUGUGUAGAGUAGAAGCUACGAUUGGAUGGUAGGUUGUGGUGUGUAGAGUAGAAGCUACGAUUGGAUGGUAGGUUGUGGUGUGUAGAGUAGAAGCUACGAUUGGAUGGUAGGUUGUGGUGUGUAGAGUAGAAGCUACGAUUGGAUGGUAGGUUGUGGUGUGUAGAGUAGAAGCUACGAUUGGAUGGUAGGUUGUGGUGUGUAGAGUAGAAGCUACGAUUGGAUGGUAGGUUGUGGUGUGUAGAGUAGAAGCUACGAUUGGAUGGUAGGUUGUGGUGUGUAGAGUAGAAGCUACGAUUGGAUGGUAGGUUGUGGUGUGUAGAGUAGAAGCUACGAUUGGAUGGUAGGUUGUGGUGUGUAGAGUAGAAGCUACGAUUGGAUGGUAGGUUGUGGUGUGUAGAGUAGAAGCUACGAUUGGAUGGUAGGUUGUGGUGUGUAGAGUAGAAGCUACGAUUGGAUGGUAGGUUGUGGUGUGUAGAGUAGAAGCUACGAUUGGAUGGUAGGUUGUGGUGUGUAGAGUAGAAGCUACGAUUGGAUGGUAGGUUGUGGUGUGUAGAGUAGAAGCUACGAUUGGAUGGUAGGUUGUGGUGUGUAGAGUAGAAGCUACGAUUGGAUGGUAGGUUGUGGUGUGUAGAGUAGAAGCUACGAUUGGAUGGUAGGUUGUGGUGUGUAGAGUAGAAGCUACGAUUGGAUGGUAGGUUGUGGUGUGUAGAGUAGAAGCUACGAUUGGAUGGUAGGUUGUGGUGUGUAGAGUAGAAGCUACGAUUGGAUGGUAGGUUGUGGUGUGUAGAGUAGAAGCUACGAUUGGAUGGUAGGUUGUGGUGUGUAGAGUAGAAGCUACGAUUGGAUGGUAGGUUGUGGUGUGUAGAGUAGAAGCUACGAUUGGAUGGUAGGUUGUGGUGUGUAGAGUAGAAGCUACGAUUGGAUGGUAGGUUGUGGUGUGUAGAGUAGAAGCUACGAUUGGAUGGUAGGUUGUGGUGUGUAGAGUAGAAGCUACGAUUGGAUGGUAGGUUGUGGUGUGUAGAGUAGAAGCUACGAUUGGAUGGUAGGUUGUGGUGUGUAGAGUAGAAGCUACGAUUGGAUGGUAGGUUGUGGUGUGUAGAGUAGAAGCUACGAUUGGA